AUUCCAGCUCCAAUAGCGUAUAUUAAAGUUGUUGCAGUUAAAAAGCUCGUAGUUGGAUUUCUGGCCGAGUGUCCCCAGGCCAGCAUGACGUUUGGUCCUGGGCGCUCUGCCAUCCUUCUGUCAACCUUCGCCUCGUUCAUUCGUGGCGCUGGGGCUCAGAUAUUUUACCUUGAGAAAAUUAGAGUGUUUCAGGCAGGCUUUCGCCGGAAUACAUUAGCAUGGAAUAAUGGAAAAGGACUUCAACCUCUUCUGUUGGUCUGAGAGGCUGUAGUAAUGAUUAAUAGGGUCAGUUGGGGGUAUUCGUAUUCCGUUGUCAGAGGUGAAAUUCUUGGAUUUACGGAAGACGAACGACUGCGAAAGCAUCUACCAAGGAUGUUUUCAUCA
rnacentral:rRNA from 1 species